rnacentral:ncRNA from 15 species
AGGGGCCACCGCCGAGAGGGUGCGCCGCCAUGCGCGGCCGCAGGGAACUGGGUGAAAGUCCCGGACUGCCCCCGCAACUGUAAGCGGAGAGUGCCGAGGAUCUUCCCACUCGCAACCCUGCCGGGAAGGGCCGAGGCGCGGUGAAACGCAAGUCAGGAGACCUGCCUUUCGGCACCUCAACCGC